rnacentral:rRNA from 1 species
AUUGAACGCUGGCGGCAGGCCUAACACAUGCAAGUCGAGCGGAGCGGCGGACGGGUGAGUAAUGCCUAGGAAUCUGCCUGGUAGCGUGGGAUAACGUCCGGAAACGGGCGCUAAUACCGCAUACUAUCAGAUGAGCCUAGGGCGGAUUAGCUAGUUGGUGGGUUAAAGGCCUACCAAGGCGACGAUCCGUAACUGUUCUGAGAGGAUGAUCAGUCACACUGGAACUGGGAAACGGUCCGGACUCCUACGGGAGGCAGCAGUGGGAAAUAUUGGACAAGGAGCGAAGGCCUGAUCCAGCACGGCCGCGUGUGUGAAAAAGGUCUUCGGAUUGUAAAGCACUUUAAGUUGGGAGACGUUACCAACAGAAUAAGCACCGGCUAACUUCGUGCCAGCAGCCGCGGUAAUAC